GGCGCUAUAGCCAAGUGGUUACGGCGACAGAUUCGAAUUAUUGCUUAUCUGUUCCUCUUUGAGGGCGCAGGUUCAAAUCCUGCUGGCGUCG
rfam:Moniliophthora roreri MCA 2997 sctg_0088_0001, whole genome shotgun sequence.